GAUGCGUAGCAUAGUGGUAGUGUGUUGUUGUUGCCUGUUGGAGGUUGUGGGUUCAAUCCCCCUCGGCACCC
rnacentral:tRNA from 1 species